GACGAACGCUGGCGGCGUGCCUAAUACAUGCAAGUAGAACGCUGAAGGAGGAGCUUGCUUCUCUGGAUGAGUUGCGAACGGGUGGGUAACGCGUAGGUAACCUGCCUGGUAGCGGGGGAUAACUAUUGGAAACGAUAGCUAAUACCGCAUAAGAGUAGAUGUUGCAUGACAUUUGCUUAAAAGGUGCAAUUGCAUCACUACCAGAUGGACCUGCGUUGUAUUAGCUAGUUGGUGGGGUAACGGCUCACCAAGGCGACGAUACAUAGCCGACCUGAGAGGGUGAUCCGCCACACUGGGACUGAGACACGGCCCAGACUCCUACGGGAGGCAGCAGUAGGGAAUCUUCGGCAAUGGACGGAAGUCUGACCGAGCAACGCCGGGUGAGUGAAGAAGGUUUUCGGAUCGUAAAGCUCUGUUGUAAGAGAAGAACGAGUGUGAGAGUGGAAAGUUCACACUGUGACGGUAUCUUACCAGAAAGGGACGGCUAACUACGUG
rnacentral:rRNA from 1 species